rfam:Streptomyces oceani strain SCSIO 02100 scaffold80, whole genome shotgun sequence.
UGAAUCCGCGCGGGAGAGUCCCCGGGUGCACGCCGCCGGGGCGCCGAAGGAGCAAGAUCCUCCCUUGAAUCUCUCAGGCCCCGAUACCGUGCGGACGAG